UUGCUAUUUCCUUCUACAGUUCAUUUUAUAGCUGAGGAAUGGAGGUAAACAGGGUUCAGUGACUUGCUCAGGGUCCCACAGUGUUUAAGACCAGAUCUAAGUUCAAGAAGACUUAGACUCCAGGGCUCGUACUCUAUCCACUUCGCCAUAUAAUACAGAAUGGUGGGAUAAUUUGAAGAGGAUGGAAAGAAGGGAAUGAACAUUGAAGGAUGGGAUUUGAACAAUGACAGCCAGGAGUUCAGAAACACUGAGGGAAAGAGAAUAUAAAGGGAUGAAGAAACGGAUGCCCAAGAAUCUUGAAUGAGGCACAUAUUUCCUAUUACAUAGGUCCUGAGUCAGGCAAGUGGACAAAGGUUCCAGAAUCCCUGUCUGUGUGUUGUCUUCAGAUGAGCUUCUCUGCUUCUCUAUUCACCAUGAAGCCAAGAUCCCAAAGGAACAACAAUAUAAAGGACUUCAGAGAUCAUCAAGACAAAUGAGAAAACUGAAGGACCCCAGACUGUCUGAAGCCUGGAAUGUUCUAGAAUUCUGGUUGGGAAUGAGGACUGGAAUUGUUAUUUCAUUGAUCUAGGGAACUCUCGGGAAUUGGACCAGAUAAUCUCUCAAGUUUAUUACAUGUCUAAAAUAUGGUAAUUUAAAAAGAAGAAAUGAAUAUCAAAAGAUCAUUUGCCAUUCUACUUGGACCUGAAAAGAGAUUUUCCUUUGACCAGUAGAUGUCACUACAGCCAUACAAAGUCAAGUUUAUUCCAGUUUACUCUUAAGUGGAACAUCUUUAAAUGCUUACACUCAUCCAUUGUGGAAAAGAUCUGUCUCUGUUGCUAGAGAAGCCCUUGAAGACAGGUGCAUUCAGAGGUCAGACCACACCAUUCAUGCUAUCCCUGAAGUGAAAGACCUGAAUACCUACUAUAUGUUCCAGACAUCUAUGGAUUCAUUGAUGUAGAUCUACCCUCCACUGAUUCAGUUUGUGAUGUCUCCCUCUUAGAGAGUGUUUUCCUGAGUUGUUAUGGAUGAAUAAUUUUGCCUUGUUCUGAAGCUUUCUGGUGCUGAGCUCUUCACAUUUAGCUUGGCUGGUUUCCAGAUCCCAGACACAUAUGCUCCAUUGCAAGACCUAUUCUUAAAGCCCUUCCCACUUGGUAGGACCUGCCAACCCCUGUGUUUUGCCCUUAUAACUUUCAAAAAUUCAGGGUCACCCUGAUGUGAUGGUAAGACAUCGGAGAAGGACUUUUGUGGAAAUUCAGAUAAAUAAUUCAGAUUCAGAUAAAUAAAAUAGAAGGUACAUUUCA
rnacentral:lncRNA from 1 species